CAGAAGCUCUGAAUUUUAGGUAGAUCCUAUUUGUCUAUCUUGACUUUUGUUGCCGUUGCUUUUGGUGUUUUAGUCAUGAAGUCCUAGCCUAUGCCUAUGUCCUGGAUGGUUUUGCCUACAUAUUCUUCUAGUGUUUUUAUGGUGUUAGGUUUUAUGUUUAAAUAUUUAAUCCAUCUGGAGUUAAUUUUAGUGUAAGAUGACAAGAAGAGGUCCAGUUUCUGCUUUCUGCACAUUGCUAGCCAGUUUUCCCAACACCAUUUAUUAAACAUGGAGUCCUCUCCCCAUUGCUUUUUUUUGUCAGGUUUGUCAAAAAUCAGAUGGUUGAAGAUGUGUGAUGUUGCUUCUGAGGCCUCUGUUCUGUUCCUUUGAUCUGUGUCUAUGUUUUGAUACCAGUACCAUGCUGUUUUGAUUACUGUAGCCUUGCAGUAUAGUUUGAAGUUAGGUAGCAUGAGGCCUCCAGCUUUGCUUUUUUUGCUUAGGAUUGUCUUGGCUAUGUGGACUCUCUUGUGAUUCCAUUUGAAGUUUAAAGUAGUUUUUCCAGUUCUGUGAAGAAGGUCAUUGGUAGCUUGACAGGGAUAGCAUUGAAUCUAUAAAUUACUUUGGGCAGUAUGGCCAUUUUCAUGAUAUUGAUUCUUUCUAACCAUGAGCAUGGAAUGUUUUUCUAUCUGUUUGUGUAACCACUCACUCAGUGAAGAGCUUCUGGUCUGUUUCCAGUUUGGGGUUUCUCUGAACAAUACUGCUAUAAGCAUUAUGUGCAGGUUUUCACAUGCACUUAGCUUUUCAUUUCUCAGGGAUAAAUGUUCAAGAGUGCAGCUGCUGAGGUGAAUGGGAGGAACAUGCUUAGUUUGUUGUUGUUGUUUGAGACGGAGUCUUGCUCUGUUGCUCAGGGUGGAGUGCAGUGGUGUGAUCUCGGCUCACUGCAAUCUCCAUCUCCUCGGUUCAAGUGAUUCUCUUGCCUCAGCCUCCUGAGUAGCUGGGAUUAUAGGCAUGCACCACCACACCUGGCUAAUUUUUUUAUAUUUUGAGUAGAGACGGGGUUUCAGCAUAUUGGCCAGGCUGGUCUCGAACUCCUGACCUUGUCAUCUGCCUGCCUUGGCCUUCCAAAGUGCUGGGAUUACAGGCGUGAGCCACCAUGCCCAGCCACAUGUUUAGUUUAUGCUCCUUUCCAGAGAGGCUGUAUCCUAUUACAUUCCCAUCAGCAACGUAUGAGUGAAGCAGCUUCUCCACAUCCUUACAAGCAUUAGGUAAUAUCACUAUUUUUUAUUUAAGUCAUUAUGAUAGGCAUGUAGUAUGUCUCAUUUGGACUUAUAUUUGCAUUUCUUUAAUGGAUAAUGAUGUUGAACAUCUUUUCUUGUGCUUAUCUGCUAUGUAUUUUCUUGCACGAAAUGUAUGUUUACGUUUUUGUCUAUUUCUUAAUUGGAUUGUUUUUAAUGUUGAGUUUUUAGAAUUCUUUCUAUAUUAUAGAUAUUUU
rnacentral:lncRNA from 1 species